rnacentral:piRNA from 1 species
UUCACAGGGAGCCAAAUGUGUUC